rnacentral:rRNA from 1 species
GACGAACGCUGGCGGCGUGCUUAACACAUGCAAGUCGAACGGAAAGGCCCUGCUUGCAGGGUACUCGAGUGGCGAACGGGUGAGUAACACGUGGGUGAUCUGCCCUGCACUUCGGGAUAAGCCUGGGAAACUGGGUCUAAUACCUGAUAGGAGCCAUUUUUAGUCGGAUGGUUGGAAAGUUUUUUCGGUGUAGGAUGAGCUCGCGGCCUAUCAGCUUGUUGGUGGGGUAAUGGCCUACCAAGGCGGCGACGGGUAGCCGGCCUGAGAGGGUGGACGGCCACAUUGGGACUGAGAUACGGCCCAGACUCCUACGGGAGGCAGCAGGGGGGAAUAUUGCACAAUGGGCGCAAGCCUGAUGCAGCGACGCCGCGUGGGGGAUGACGGCCUUCGGGUUGUAAACUCCUUUUGCUAGGGACGAAGCUUUUUGUGACGGUACCUAGAUAAGAAGCACCGGCUAACUACGUG